rnacentral:rRNA from 1 species
CGAGAAGGUCACACCCGUUCCCAUCCCGAACACGGUAGUUAAGCUUCUCUGCGCCAAUGGUAGUUGGGGGCUUCCCCUUGCGAGAGUAGGUCGCUGCCGGGC